UCUAGCUUGUGGUCUACCCAAUAUUGAAGUUAGCUUUCUGAGUGGAAAGAGAAGAACUGAGAAGAUACCACUUCAGUGGGCUGAUAGGUCAGUCUGUUUAAGUGGGAGAAAGGUCUGGGGCCCAAGAGAUGACAGCAGGACUCCCCUGCUGUGGUGUGUGUGGUCACUAAGCUUGUGUACUCUGUGGAAACAA